CUACGUGCCAGCAGCCGCGGUAAUACGUAGGGUGCGAGCGUUAWUCGGAAUUACUGGGCGUAAAGCGGGCGCAGACGGUUACUUAAGCAGGAUGUGAAAUCCCCGGGCUCAACCUGGGAACUGCGUUCUGAACUGGGUGACUAGAGUGUGUCAGAGGGAGGUAGAAUUCCACGUGUAGCAGUGAAAUGCGUAGAGAUGUGGAGGAAUACCGAUGGCGAAGGCAGCCUCCUGGGAUAACACUGACGUUCAUGCCCGAAAGCGUGGGUAGCAAACAGGAUUAGAUACCCUGGUAGUCCACGCCCUAAACGAUGUCGAUUAGCUGUUGGGCAGCAUGACUGCUUAGUAGCGAAGCUAACGCGUGAAAUCGACCGCCUGGGGAGUACGGUCGCAAGAUUAAAACUCAAAGGAAUUGACGGGGACCCGCACAAGCGGUGGAUGAUGUGGAUUAAUUCGAUGCAACGCGAAGAACCUUACCUGGUCUUGACAU
rnacentral:rRNA from 1 species